rnacentral:rRNA from 1 species
UAGGGAAUCUUCCACAAUGGACGCAAGUCUGAUGGAGCAACGCCGCGUGAGUGAAGAAGGUUUUCGGACCGUAAAGCUCUGUUGUUGGUGAAGAAGGAUAGAGGUAGUAACUGGCCUUUAUUUGACGGUAAUCAACCAGAAAGUCACGGCUAACUACGUGCCAGCAGCCGCGGUAAUCGUAGGUGGCAAGCGUUGUCCGGAUUUAUUGGGCGUAAGGCGAGCGCAGGCGGAAGAAUAAGUCUGAUGUGAAAGCCCUCGGCUUAACCGAGGAAUUGCAUCGGAAACUGUUUUUCUUGAGUGCAGAAGAGGAGAGUAGAACUCCAUGUGUAGCGGUGGAAUGCGUAGAUAUAUGGAAGAAUACCAGUGGCGAAGGCGGCUCUCUGGUCUGCAACUGACGCUGAGGCUCGAAAGCAUGGGUAGCGAACAGGAUUAGAUACCCUGGUAGUCCAUGCCAUAAACGAUGAGUGCUAAGUGUUGGGAGGCUUCCGCCUCUCAGUGCUGCAGCUAACGCAUUAAGCACUCCGCCUGGGGGAGUACGACCGCAAGGUUGAAAC